rnacentral:misc_RNA from 1 species
UCCUGGUUACCCAGGCAGUCCCAUUAGAGUGCUUCCUCACGGAGUGGCAACUAACGGCAGGAGUUGCGCUCGUUAAAGGACUUAACCCAACAUCUCACGACACGAGCUGACGACAGCCAUGCAGCACCUGUAUAAAUGUCCUUGGUUUCCCAAGGAAAACCAUGUUUCCAUGGCGGUCAUAAAUAUGUCAAGCCUAGGUAAGGUUCCUCGCGUAGUGUCGAAUUAAACCACAUGUUCCACCGCUUGUGCGGACCCCCGUCAAUUCCUUUAAGUUUUAAUCUUGCGACCGUACUUCCCAGGCGGAUCACUUAUCGCGUUAGCUACGACACCAAGCCCCGAAGAGCCUGACGUCUAGUGAUCAUCGUUUACAGCGUGGACUAC